GAGAUGAGUUUUAUUCAUUAGAUGAUACAGUGAAUUUCUAAUAACUUGUCUUGGAUGAGUGAGAUUUUGAUAAUGGUUUUCUUAAUAUGGAGUGACUAUGAUAUAAUUUGUAUCAUUUUGUUUGGUUGAUUUAUCUUUUUUUUAUUGAAAGUGCUAAGUUUAAAUAAACACAAAUUUUUCAUCUCAACUUAAACUCUUUAUAAAUUAUGCUCAUAAAUUGCAUCAUUAUAUUAACAUAUAAAAUAUAUAUAGAUGUGUCCUAAUCCUAUAUUUUUUACCUUAGCGGGUCCUCAUGUCCUUGUCCAUGUCCCAUAUCCGUGUCUGAGUCCGGUCUUCAUAGUUUGUAGGUAUAUUUUACAUAAAAUAGGGAUUGCAUGAAAGAUAAGGAAUGCAGAUUGCAAGAAAGAUAAGGUUUGCAGGAAAGAUAAGGAUUGCAGAUUGCAGGAAAGAUAGGGUUUGCAGAUUGCAGGAAACCAUGUGAGUGAAGUAACCAUUACUAGUUACUGUUCACAACGAUUAGUCCGUGAUUGUUUGAAACUUGAAAUGAAGUGAUAAAAGCUCUAUUAAUUUGCGCUCUUUCAAAAACAAGUCUCAGGGUUAUGUUUCAAA
rnacentral:lncRNA from 1 species